UAUUUAAGUAGUUUAUAGAAAUAAAAUAGUGAUUUGUGGUAUCCUAGAAAUAUUGCCCGUCAGUAUCUUAAAU
rnacentral:tRNA from 1 species